rnacentral:piRNA from 1 species
UUUACUUCUGACAUUUAACGG